CACGUAGGGUGCGAGCGUUGUCCGGAAUUAUUGGGCGUAAAGAGCUCGUAGGCGGUUUGUCGCGUCGAAUGUGAAAACCCGGGGCUCAACUCCGGGCCUGCAUUCGAUACGGGCAGACUAGAGUUCGGUAGGGGAGUCUGGAAUUCCUGGUGUAGCGGUGAAAUGCGCAGAUAUCAGGAGGAACACCGGUGGCGAAGGCGGGACUCUGGGCCGAUACUGACGCUGAGGAGCGAAAGCGUGGGGAGCAAACAGG
rnacentral:rRNA from 1 species